rnacentral:rRNA from 1 species
AUUGAACGCUGGCGGCAGGCCUAACACAUGCAAGUCGAACGAGUGGCGGACGGGUGAGUAAUGUCUGGGAAACUGCCUGAUGGAGGGGGAUAACUACUGGAAACGGUAGCUAAUACCGCAUACCAUCAGAUGUGCCCAGAUGGGGUUAGCUUGUUGGGGGGGUAACGGCUCACCAAGGCGACGAUCCCUAGCUGGUCUGAGAGGAUGACCAGCCGCAACGGAACUGAUACACGGUCCAGAUGUCUACGGGAGGCAGCAGUGGGGAAAAUUGCACAAUGGGCGCAAGCCUGAUGCAGCCAUGUCGCGUGCAUGAAGAAGGCCUUCGGGUUGUAAAGUACUUUCAGCGGGGAGGCGUUACCCGCAGAAGAAGCACCGGCUAACUCCGUGCCAGCCGCCGCGGUAAUUC